rnacentral:rRNA from 1 species
UAGGGAAUCUUCCGCAAUGGGCGAAAGCCUGACGGAGCAACGCCGCGUGAGUGAUGAAGGUCUUCGGAUCGUAAAACUCUGUUAUUAGGGAAGAACAAAUGUGUAAGUAACUAUGCACGUCUUGACGGUACCUAAUCAGAAAGCCACGGCUAACUACGUGCCAGCAGCCGCGGUAAUACGUAGGUGGCAAGCGUUAUCCGGAAUUAUUGGGCGUAAAGCGCGCGUAGGCGGUUUUUUAAGUCUGAUGUGAAAGCCCACGGCUCAACCGUGGAGGGUCAUUGGAAACUGGAAUACUUGAGUGCAGAAGAGGAAAGUGGAAUUCCAUGUGUAGCGGUGAAAUGCGCAGAGAUAUGGAGGAACACCAGUGGCGAAGGCGACUUUCUGGUCUGUAACUGACGCUGAUGUGCGAAAGCGUGGGGAUCAAACAGG